GACGAACCGUGCGAACGUUGUUCGGAAUCACUGGGCUUAAAGGGCGCGUAGGCGGACCUCCAAGUCCGGGGUGAAAUCUUUCGGCUUAACCGGAAAAGUGCCUUGGAUACUGAGGGUCUCGAGGGAGGCAGGGGCGGAUGGAACUUCCGGUGGAGCGGUGAAAUGCGUUGAUAUCGGAAGGAACGCCGGUGGCGAAAGCGAUCCGCUGGACCUCUUCUGACGCUGAGGCGCGAAAGCCAGGGGAGGCAAAACGGGG
rnacentral:rRNA from 1 species